rnacentral:rRNA from 1 species
GGGGAAUAUUGGACAAUGGGGGGAACCCUGAUCCAGCCAUGCCGCGUGUGUGAAGAAGGUCUUAGGAUUGUAAAGCACUUUAAGUUGGGAGGAAGAGCAGUUAACUAAUAUUUGACUGUUUUGACGUUACCGACAGAAUAAGCACCGGCUAACUUCGUGCCAGCAGCCGCGGUAAUACGAAGGGUGCAAGCGUUAAUCGGAAUUACUGGGCGUAAAGCGCGCGUAGGUGGUUCGUUAAGUUAGGAGUGAAAGCCCCGGGCUCAACCUGGGAAUUGCUUCUAAAACUGGCGAGCUAGAGUAUGGUAGAGGGUGGUGGAAUUUCCUGUGUAGCGGUGAAAUGCGUAGAUAUAGGAAGGAACAUCAGUGGCGAAGGCGACCACCUGGACUGAUACUGACACUGAGGUGCGAAAGCGUGGGGAGCAAAC